rnacentral:rRNA from 1 species
UGAACGCUAGCUACAGGCUUAACACAUGCAAGUCGAGGGGCAUCACGUGAGGCAGCAAUGCAUCGUGGGUGGCGACCGGCGAAUGGGUGAGUAACGAGUAUCCAACCUGGCCCAUACUCGGGCACAGCCCCGCGAAAGCGGGAUUAAUGCCCGAUGCGGCGUAUCUCCCGCAUGGGAAUUACGUCAAAGGUAUAAACUGGUAUGGGAUGGGGGAUGCGUCCGAUUAGCUAGACGGCGGGGUAACGGCCCACCGUGGCGAUGAUCGGUAGGGGUUCUGAGAGGAAGGUCCCCCACAUUGGAACUGAGACACGGUCCAAACUCCUACGGGAGGCAGCAGUGAGGAAUAUUGGUCAAUGGCCGUAAGGCUGAACCAGCCAAGUAGCGUGAGGGGAAUGACCGCCCUAUGGGUCGUAAACCUCUUUUGCACGGGAAUAACCGCACCCACGUGUGGGUGCCUGCAUGUACCGUGCGAAUAAGCAUCGGCUAACUCCGUGCCAGCCGCAGC